UUACCUUGUCAAGUCGAACGAUGAACCACUUCGGUGGGGAUUAGUGGCGAACGGGUGAGUAACACGUGGGCAAUCUGCCCUGCACUCUGGGACAAGCCCUGGAAACGGGGUCUAAUACCGGAUAUUGACCUUCACGGGCAUCUGUGAGGUUCGAAAGCUCCGGCGGUGCAGGAUGAGCCCGCGGCCUAUCAGCUUGUUGGUGAGGUAAUGGCUCACCAAGGCGACGACGGGUAGCCGGCCUGAGAGGGCGACCGGCCACACUGGGACUGAGACACGGCCCAGACUCCUACGGGAGGCAGCAGUGGGGAAUAUUGCACAAUGGGCGAAAGCCUGAUGCAGCGACGCCGCGUGAGGGAUGACGGCCUUCGGGUUGUAAACCUCUUUCAGCAGGGAAGAAGCGAAAGUGACGGUACCUGCAGAAGAAGCGCCGGUUAACUACGUGCCAGCAGCCGCGGUAAUACGUAGGGCGCAAGCGUUGUCCGGAAUUAUUGGGCGUAAAGAGCUCGUAGGCGGCUUGUUCACGUCGGUUGUGAAAUCCCGGGGCUUAACCCCGGGUCUGCAGUCGAUACGGGCAGGCUAGAGUUCGGUAGGGGAGAUCGGAAUUCCUGGUGUAGCGGUGAAAUGCGCAGAUAUCAGGAGU
rnacentral:rRNA from 1 species